CCUACGGGUGGCUGCAGUGGGGAAUAUUGGACAAUGGGCGAAAGCCUGAUCCAGCCAUGCCGCGUGUGUGAAGAAGGCCUUCGGGUUGUAAAGCACUUUCAGUGGGGAAGAAAGCCUUGGGGCUAAUACCCUCGAGGAAGGACAUCACCCACAGAAGAAGCACCGGCUAACUCCGUGCCAGCAGCCGCGGUAAUACGGAGGGUGCGAGCGUUAAUCGGAAUUACUGGGCGUAAAGCGCGCGUAGGCGGUCUGAUAAGCCGGUUGUGAAAGCCCCGGGCUCAACCUGGGAACGGCAUCCGGAACUGUCAGGCUAGAGUGCAGGAGAGGAAGGUAGAAUUCCCGGUGUAGCGGUGAAAGGCGUAGAGAUCGGGAGGAAUACCAGUGGCGAAGGCGGCCUUCUGGACUGACACUGACGCUGAGGUGCGAAAGCGUGGGUAGCAAACAGGAUUAAUACCCCUGUAGUC
rnacentral:rRNA from 1 species